rnacentral:lncRNA from 1 species
AGACAAUAUAGCAAUGGCACAUUCUUCCCUUUCUUGAUAGCCUCUGCCUAAGGAACAGAAGAAGCAGGGCAUCUCAAAAGAAUCCAGAUUUCUGGGCAAGCAGAUGCAUCGCAUCGGAAAGCCUGCUACCCACUGUAAUAGAGAGACCCUUGUCUGACUUGGACUGUAUGGUUUAAUACAAUCAAUGAGACCCAAAAUGCCAUCUUAUUCUGUUUUUGUUUGUAUUUCCCCCUUCAGCUAUACCUAAACCAGUCUAGAGAAAUGAAACCCUCCAGCGGUUCUAGUCCCGGAAGGAAGCCGAACUGCCUUGAAGCAUCUGGCCUUGUGCCCACAUGUUGUCACAGCUCAUAGCUCAUCUUUCUCUGUGCCCUUGGCAGCUGAUCUGAAUAGAGAGUGCACAUGAACUUCAAAGGAAGCAGGCAGGAUGGAGUUGGGGCCUUGCUGCUUUAAUCAAGAUGGAUUCGAGACCUCUGGUUAUCAAUAUUCUUAUUCUUUAUCCUCCCUU